UACGAAGGGUGCAAGCGUUACUCGGAAUUACUGGGCGUAAAGCGUGCGUAGGCGGUUUGUUAAGUCCGUUGUGAAAGCCCUGGGCUCAACCUGGGAAUGGCAAUGGAUACUGGCAGGCUAGAGUGCGGUAGAGGGUAGUGGAAUUCCCAGUGUAGCGGUGAAAUGCGUAGAUACUGGGAGGAACACCAGUGGCGAAGGCGGCUACCUGGACCGGUUCUGACGCUGAGGCGCGAAAGCGUGGGUAGCAAACAGG
rnacentral:rRNA from 1 species